AGACAGACUCCGGGGCCCUCAACUGGUCUCCGACCUUCCCCUGCAACCUGCGACACCUGCCAUUUUCCCAUCUUAGGCUCCAGAAGCAGAAUCAAGUGGGAUGUCUUGGAAGAAAAACAAACAAAAGGCCCACUAGGUGGAGUGAAAUGGAUCAGGAGCAAUUAUGUUCAAUUUCACCUUUAAGUUUUCUCAAAAGGAGGAGCAUUAAGAAUCAGCCACCUUAGUACAUACUUAAAGGUAAAUAUUACAUUUAAGAAAAUCCUUGUUAUCUUAAUGUGGCACUGAGAAAAUACUAUCAAGUACAGCACGUGGACUAAGUUAGAACAUUAAAUACACAGGAUCUCUUGAUAGAAUUAUCCUCAGACUUUCCAGUUUUAAUCUUCUAGAUUUACUGAAACCUGAUCCUGUCCCCGCUGAUGAAACAUCAGAGGAAUGGGAUCCUGUAGGUGAAGAUCAUCAGCUUAUAAAAUCCUGUUGCCAUCAAUGGGGGUAGCAGGAAAAUGAUGAAGAUUGGUUAAGGGGCCAGUGGACUCAGCAUUGAAAUGAAUCAUGGACUUGAAGCCAAAAGACUCAGUUUGUGUCCCAGCUCUCUCAAGCAAAGCCCCCAAGUCCCAGUUUCCUCAUCUAUAAAAAAUAAUAAAAAUACUUAAUGGACAAAGUUGUGUGGGAAUCAAAUGAGAUAAAGUAUGCGCUGCAUAUGCCCUAAAGUCUUAUUUAAAUAAAGGCAUUCUUUUCAUCUGAGAAAUUGAAGAAAAAGAUGCCCUGAACAAGAAAGACAGGAGAAAAGAUUUUUUUUUUUUUUAAUGAAGGAUAAAAUGAUGAAAUCCCCCCAGGUAUUGCUACAGAAAGGCCUUACCCAUGAGCUGUAGGCAUAUAUCCGGUCCUAAGGUCCAUUUUGGAGUAGCCCAGCACUCAGUCUGAAAGAUUGGACACUGAGAAAUAUGUGCAUCCCAUUUUUCUAACUAGCAGCAUUUUGAUCCUGUCUUAUUAUCCAUACCCAGGCUAGCACACAUGAUUUUUUCUGCUUGCACUUCAGGAGAAGAUAGUCAUUGGACAAAAGUCCACAGGUCGAGAGGAACCAUACUUGAAGAAACAUACCUGAAGGGUUUCAUCCAUAUGUGGGCCUGAUUUGGAUGAUAAAAUCCUGCAUCUUGAGCCUGAUCUUGAUGCUGCCUGUGUUCUGAUGCCAUCAGGAGUUGAGAGUCUAGGGGUUUUAGAAAGGGUGAAUGUAUUUUCCCAUAGGCAAGGAACAUAAUCAAUGGCCAAAAUGUGCACUGUGACAGAUUAAAGGUUGCUACAAAUUCUCUGAUACCCUUCCAUUAAGAGGUAGGGCAGAUAUUCCCUCCCCUCAAAUCUGGGUGGGCUCCAUGACUUGCUUUGAUCAACAGAAAACGGCAGCAGUGAUGCUGGGCCAGUUGUUGGAUCCAGGCCUUAAGAACCAACAACUUCCACUUAAGUUCUCUUGGAACACUGAGUCCCUGACUACCCUAAUAUCAUGUUGGAAAGGCUACAUGUAGGCACUCUAGUUGCCAGUCCCAGCCAAGACCAGCUUUUCAGCCAUCCCCAUCACUAAAUUUGUAAAUGAAGCCAUCUGGAAUCUCCAGACCAGCUCAUUUGGCAGCUGGGUAUCAUCAAGUUAUCUCUGCUGACUCCACAUGGAACAAAGGAAUCACCCAGCUGAGCCCUAUUCAAACUAUUGACCAAAAAAAUAGUGAGACAUAAUAAAAUGAUGUUUUAAGCC
ensembl:lncRNA LINC02805 long intergenic non-protein coding RNA 2805